AUCACCUCUUGGCCUUUUGCUAAGAUCAUGUGCAGUUAUCUGUUCUUAUCAGUUUAAUGUUUGAUACAUCUUCUACCUGAGGACAACAUAUUAAAUGGAUUUUUGGAGCAGGUAGAUGAAAUAGGAUCAUGUUCCAUCCACUCCACACAUUGACCCAGUAUUGCAAUGCUUCCAGGAAUGGUGAACCACCC